rnacentral:lncRNA from 1 species
CUCCCAUUUAUACAAACAAAUAUAAGUGGGCAAAUUCAAUACUCAUAAUAAAUACACAAAGAUAACUAAAAACAUUAUUAAACCAGAUCCAGUAUGCAGCAUACAAGAAAAAGGGGGUAUUUCAAGGAGUAGAACGAGAAGGUGGUGGAGAAAAGGAAGGAAUAGAGGGAACUGCAGUUGGGAUUGAGGGAAUGCUUGGCAGAGGCGGCAGUCCUCUUGGCAAUGUGGUAGGAAGUGGAGGAAGCGCCCCAGGGUUUGUGAGAUUAGGGAUAGAUGGCAAUGGCGGAAAAGAGAAAGGAAUAGGGGGAAUUGCAGUUGGGAUUGUGGGGACUGAGGGAAUGCUUGGCAGAGGGGGCAGUCCUGUUGGGAAUGUGGUAGGAAGUGGAGGAAGCGCCCCAGGCCAUGAGAAUGAUGGUCGGGAUGGCGUUGGGAGAUUAGGGAAAGAUGGUAAACUUUGCGUUCGAGGCUGCUGCAGAAGGUGACGAGCUGCUACCCCAACAUCAAUGCUUGCAAAUGACAAAGCAAUCAAGAAUGCUAAAGCAAAGCAAUUGAAAGAGGCCAUUUUUGUUCAAAGAUUUCGAAACAAAUGAAGCAGAUGAAACGAAGUUCUUUAUCUGAAUAGUUGUGAGUGAGGAAAACAAAGCAUGGUAUUGAGGUUUAUAUAGGCAUUGGAGUAGUGAAUAGAAAUCCCCUGCCCCUAAACAAUGCCCCAUGCAUGCCCCCAAACCAAAAUAGCGCCACAUGUUUUUUAUUUUUUCCAUUUUAAUUGUAGUUCAUUUUUAAAAUAAAAAAUUUAUAGUGAUUUGAAUUAAUUUUUAACUUAUUAUCAACGUUUUUAUUUUUGUUUUAUUUUUAUUUUACAUUAAUUUUACCUAUUCUUUAAUUAACAAAUUUAUAAUGACUUAGAGUUUAUCUAAUAGAGUUUUUUUUUUAUAAUCGGUCUUAUGAUAAAAUUUUAUAAGGUGGGAACAAGUCCCACAGUGACAACAUGAUCCUUCAAUUUUUGGUGGUGGCAUGCCUUUAGUCAAAGGAUCAGCCAACAUCUGCUCAAUGCUAAUGUGCUCAAUGACCAAUUUCUUGUCUUUAACAUGUUUCCUUAUGCCUAGGUACUUAAAGUCGAUAUGUUUACUUCAACUUCCACUUUUUUCGUUCUUAGCCAUAAAGACAGCAGUUGAAUUGUCACAAUAUAUGAAAUAAUCAAAACCCAUAAUGACUCAGCCUAAAAAUCUCGAGCUUCAAACCCAAAUUAAAUUAAAUCAAAACCAUAAUUUAUUAUGUACAAUUGCACAAAAUUAACAUAAUUUAAGUGUGUCAUAGUGCGCGUUAAAUUAAAGUUUACGUUUGACAUUAUAGAUAAUAUUCACGUGUAAAAUUUUGAGAUUUAUUCCCUUAAUUAAUGUAAUAUGUCAAAUAGAAUACUUGAACAAUCCUCCAUGUUGGCAAAGUUUAUGUUAAGUAGUAGAAGCGAACUAAAUAAUGAGAAUAAAUCUAAAGUAUGGCAUACAUAUAAUUUAUUCACAAUGUGACUUAAACUUUGUCCUUCAAGAUUUCACGGUCUCAAUUUAUGUCUUAAAUUUUUAAGAUCAUUUUAGGUUUGUUAAAAAAUUAAAAGUUUAGAAAGUUAGAAUUGUUGCUUGAGGCGUGAAUAUCCCUAUUCUUUAGGAUAUUUGUGGAUUUACCAUCUCUCAGGAUUUCUUUUGUAUCAUGCACAAUGAAAAAAUUGAAAAAAAAAUUUCCCAUUUGAAUGGAAUUGAGCUAUUAGGCUCAAGCCUCGUGUGCGCAUAUAUAUUCUCUUAUUUUGAGUCUUACAAGUUUAUAGUAAACCAAAUCUAUAUAAACAUCAUUUAAUAGGUCAAUCUAAAAUAUGUUUAAUAUGUGUAAUUCUUUAAAAUAGAUGAAAACUUCAAAUAUGGUUUAGGUCAUUUUCAGAUUUGUCUUAUUUUAGGUUCAAAUUAUUCGAAUUUGAGGCUACGUUUUUCAUGUCUAAUCAUUAUUGAUCCGAAUCAUUUUAGAUUUUGAUCAUUUUAAGUUCCAAUUAUUUUGUGAUCAAAUCAUUUCAAGUUUUGAUAAAUUUGGGUCGAUUCGAAUUUGACUUAAUUACGUAGUUAACUUUUUUUAUACUGAACUGAGCUGAAUGAAAGUUAGAUUGGAAUUUAUUUAGUGUGCCUUUGUGUUUAAGUCGAAAUUUAAACAUCUCCCUUCAAAAUAAACAAUUUAAGACAAUUUUAUUUUAAAGACAAUAAUACAACAUAGUUGAUUUGGGAGAUAAACAUGUUAAUUUUUUAAUCCCAACCAAAAUUGUACAUAAUUCUUUUAUGCCAUAUUAAAUACAUGCAACGUCUUAUAAAAAUUGUAAAUAAAUUAUGCCUAGCGACAACGUUAUUCAACUCUAAUUUCAUGGUUAAUACCUAUUUCUAUUUUUCUUCUACUGUCUUCAGCUUUAAAUAUAAAGGGAUUGAAAUUUUAAGAAUUGAGAUUUCUUUUCUCUGUAUUAGUGGACGUUUGAUUUUUUGUUUGAUUGUUUUUUUUACUGGAAUUGGCACAUAUCUUUUCAGAUUUAUCAAUAUUUUUUUAAAUUUAUUUAAGAUAUGUAUAUCAAUAUAUUACAAAUAUAAAAUAAAUGAAACUAAAUACAUUUCAAAUAUAAAAUAUUUAUUAAUAAACUGAACAAAUAAAAAUUUAUCAUUCUAAUAAAUCCAAAAUUAUUAAUAACAAUCCAUCAUUUAAUAUGAAAUUUUAUGGAUUUAGCUCAUUUACUUAAUAAAAGAAGCUGAAAGGUGGACGAAUAUAUUUUUUCUUUGAUAAUCGGGUGAACGGUUUUUUCUUAAUUAUAUUUUGAAUGUGAAAGUGUAUUCCAUUUUUUAAAAAACUUUACAUUCUGAUGUAACAUUUUUAAUUAGCCACGUUUCAAUUAAGUUUUUGGCAUAAUAGUAAAUAAUUAAAAGUUUAAUAUUUUUAAUGUUAUUCAUCCACAGGACUGUGCAUUAUGUUCUGGCAAGUGUGACAGGAAUUGAUCGGAAUGAGUUGGUGCAAUUUGUACGGACCGAAAUUUUCACCAGUGUAGAAAAAGUGUGUUGGGUGUUUUGCAAUGUUAUUGAAACCAAACUAAACAGACCAAGAACCGAUGAACCCGAGGACUAGAGUAAACUGCAGUUAAACUGCAAAUCAUCAGCCGAUUAAGUCGUAUUUUAACAUUUUCUAAACUGGAAAGAAGAAAAUUUCACUUCAAGGCCCUUGAGCUUUUGUCACACUUCUUCUCUGCACUCAAUGAAAUAAAACACAACAUAAAAAUAUAAGCACCAUUUCUUUUAUUACUUUUUCUACUAAAAUAAGUGUUUUUUUCCUCUUAAAAAACCUAAGAUGGGGAGAGGAUUUUAAAAUUCAAAACCUUCGAAAUAGAUGAGUUUGAGGUUGUUAAUAUUAUUUUAUAUUGUUGAAUAGUAAAUUAAUUGUAUUGGUGGUUUAACCUAUUGGAUCGAGAAUUAAUGAUUUGAUUGAUUUGAGUUUGGGCUGCUCACAAUCUUGACUGCAUUUAUCAUUUAAUUCUUUUUUUAAUUAGCCAAACUCAUGUUAACAAUGGUAUAACAGUAAUUAAUGACUUCAUGGACAGAACAUCAAUAUAUAAAUACACAAACAAAUAUAAUGGGAAUUGGAGAACUCCCAUUUAUACAAACAAAUAUAAGUGGGCAAAUUCAAUACUCAUAAUAAAUACACAAAGAUGACUAAAACCAUUAUUAAACCAGAUCCAGUAUGCAGCAUACAAGAAAAAGGGGGUAUUUCAAGGAGUAGAACGAGAAGGUGGUGGAGAAAAGGAAGGAAUAGAGGGGACUGCAGUUGGGAUUGAGGGAAUGCUUGGCAGAGGCGGCAGUCCUCUUGGCAAUGUGGUAGGAAGUGGAGGAAGCGCCCCAGGGUUUGGGAGAUUAGGGAUAGAUGGCAAUGGCGGAAAAGAGAAAGGAAUAGGGGGAAUUGCAGUUGGGAUUGUGGGGACUGAGGGAAUGCUUGGCAGAGGGGGCAGUCCUGUUGGGAAUGUGGUAGGAAGUGGAGGAAGCGCCCCAGGCCAUGAGAAUGAUGGUCGGGAUGGCGUUGGGAGAUUAGGGAAAGAUGGUAAACUUUGCGUUCGAGGCUGCUGCAGAAGGUGACGAGCUGCUACCCCAACAUCAAUGCUUGCAAAUGACAAAGCAAUCAAGAAUGCUAAAGCAAAGCAAUUGAAAGAGGCCAUUUUUGUUCAAAGAUUUCGAAACAAAUGAAGCAGAUGAAACGAAGUUCUUUAUCUGAAUAGUUGUGAGUGAGGAAAACAAAGCAUGGUAUUGAGGUUUAUAUAGGCAUUGGAGUAGUGAAUAGAAAUCCCCUGCCCCUAAACAAUGCCCCAUGCAUGCCCCCAAACCAAAAUAGCGCCACAUGUUUUUUAUUUUUUCCAUUUUAAUUGUAGUUCAUUUUUAAAAUAAAAAAUUUAUAGUGAUUUGAAUUAAUUUUUAACUUAUUAUCAACGUUUUUAUUUUUGUUUUAUUUUUAUUUUACAUUAAUUUUACCUAUUCUUUAAUUAACAAAUUUAUAAUGACUUAGAGUUUAUCUAAUAGAGUUUUUUUUUUAUAAUCGGUCUUAUGAUAAAAUUUUAUAAGGUGGGAACAAGUCCCACAGUGACAACAUGAUCCUUCAAUUUUUGGUGGUGGCAUGCCUUUAGUCAAAGGAUCAGCCAACAUCUGCUCAAUGCUAAUGUGCUCAAUGACCAAUUUCUUGUCUUUAACAUGUUUCCUUAUGCCUAGGUACUUAAAGUCGAUAUGUUUACUUCAACUUCCACUUUUUUCGUUCUUAGCCAUAAAGACAGCAGUUGAAUUGUCACAAUAUAUGAAAUAAUCAAAACCCAUAAUGACUCAGCCUAAAAAUCUCGAGCUUCAAACCCAAAUUAAAUUAAAUCAAAACCAUAAUUUAUUAUGUACAAUUGCACAAAAUUAACAUAAUUUAAGUGUGUCAUAGUGCGCGUUAAAUUAAAGUUUACGUUUGACAUUAUAGAUAAUAUUCACGUGUAAAAUUUUGAGAUUUAUUCCCUUAAUUAAUGUAAUAUGUCAAAUAGAAUACUUGAACAAUCCUCCAUGUUGGCAAAGUUUAUGUUAAGUAGUAGAAGCGAACUAAAUAAUGAGAAUAAAUCUAAAGUAUGGCAUACAUAUAAUUUAUUCACAAUGUGACUUAAACUUUGUCCUUCAAGAUUUCACGGUCUCAAUUUAUGUCUUAAAUUUUUAAGAUCAUUUUAGGUUUGUUAAACUGCAGUUAAACUGCAAAUCAUCAGCCGAUUAAGUCGUAUUUUAACAUUUUCUAAACUGGAAAAAAGAAAAUUUCACUUCAAGGCCCUUGAGCUUUUGUCACACUUCUUCUCUGCACUCAAUGAAAUAAAACACAACAUAAAAAUAUAAGCACCAUUUCUUUUAUUACUUUUUCUACUAAAAUAAGUGUUUUUUUCCUCGUAAAAAACCUAAGAUGGGGAGAGGAUUUUAAAAUUCAAAACCUUCGAAAUAGAUGAGUUUGAGGUUGUUAAUAUUAUUUUAUAUUGUUGAAUAGUAAAUUAAUUGUAUUGGUGGUUUAACCUAUUGGAUCGAGAAUUAAUGAUUUGAUUGAUUUGAGUUUGGGCUGCUCACUAUCUUGACUGCAUUUAUCAUUUAAUUCUUUUUUUAAUUAGCCAAACUCAUGUUAACAAUGGUAUAACAGUAAUUAAUGACUUCAUGGACUGAACAUCAAUAUAUAAAUACACAAACGUAGUGGCCCAAUAUUGCCCGGCCCGAUAAUAAAAAAUGAUAAAAUAAAUAAAGGUCCAAUGUCCAGCUUUUACAAACCCAAAAUCAAUACUGCCCAAUUAGCCUAAACCCAAUUAGGUUUAACCCAAACUCUAGCCUAGCCCAAAACCCAACUUAGCCCAAGACUCUCCCCAAACCCCGAAAACCCUAGCAGCAACGGGAGCCUCCUUCCAACGCGCAACCAUCAGGUGGCCUUCUCCACGCACACGCUGCCACGUACAUCUCCUUACGGCCACCUCCGUACCUCCAGGCUGGCCGAAUACCUGCAAAAAAAAAUGCACGGAAACAGCAGCAAAUAGAAAAACAACAGCAUAGGGGUGAAUUUUUAAUUAUUUUUUCAUUUUAUUUUCUGUAAAUCGGGCUAUAAGAAAGCGAUUCGAAUACUGUAACAGAUUUACGCAUUCAAUAUACAAAGAAAUUGAGAAUACAAAAGAAUCAAAAAAGCAGAGAAAGGUGAUUUUCUGGGUUUUUUAAUCCUUUCUAUCUUGUUGGUUACUUGAUUCUUUUUUUUUACUUUUUUAAAUUGUACGUUCAUCAAUCGUUGUUUAAAAAAGAAAUAGGAAAAAGAAAGGGAGGGAAACGUACCUGGUAGCGCGAUCCUGGCUCUCUCCGGCGUCAUCGGAGCAGGGGCUGGGAUCAAUGACUGCUCGAGUACCUUCAAUACCCAGAGCGGCGCUGAGUUUUUUUUUUUAGUUUAGGUUUUUCUUUUAAUUUAAUGAUAGGUUUUUAGGGUUUAUUUAGUUUUAAGCGAAGGAAUUAAAACGUCGACGUUAAAAGUCGAUGCAAUGACUUUGAAACGGCAUCGUUUUAGGGACCAGAUCCGAACGGUGACCCGAUCCAGGAAGGAUCCGUGCAUUAUGGAUCAUUUGGUCUAUUUGUUCAAUAGAUCCCUCUAUGUUUAAUGGAAUUGCGAUUUGAUUUCUUUUAAUUUUUUGUAAUUCGUACUGCAUAUUUUGUUCUAUUUUCAUUUAGAUCCAGAUUGAAACGGUAUCGUUUACUGCGUUUGACUUUGAUUAUUCUAAGCUUUUGGGUUUAAUUGCCGAUUCAGUCCUCCAAUUUUGAAAUAAAUUUUAAUUUAACAUGAGUUUAGCCUUUUUAAAAAAAAAAGAAAUCAAUAUCAUUUUUUAAUUAUAAUUAAUCCUAUUUUGGUACAUUAUAAAAUCUAACAUUAUUUGUAAUAUUUGAUUUUGAUGUUUUUAAAUCUACAUUUAUUAUAACCUAAGAUAUAAUAGAUCAUUGUUUUAGUUUAUAUCCUAUACUUUAAAUUUAUUAUAUAAUAAUAUUUUGUAUCUACCAUAUUUAUUUAAUUUUGUCUUUUCCUUUUGGUUCCAUUUUAAGUCCCGAUUUUAAAUUUAUUAAUAUUUUCAUUAUAAUUGUUGUUAUUACGCUUCUAAAUUGUUUUAUUAUAUUUCAUUUUGUCUUCAAAAAGUGUUUUUUAAAACAAAUUAAUUCUUAAUUUUAAUUCAUUUUCUAACAUUAUUUUGGUAUUUAGUAUGAUAUUAUUUUCAAAUUUAUUAUUAGUACAUUUUUUUAAAAUAAUACAUUAUUUUUUAAAUUAUUAUCAAUAUGUUUUAAUUUUAUCAAUAUUAUUUUAAAAAUAUAUAUGAUUUAUAUGAAAUUAUUCUAGUAUAUAUGUAUAUAGAUUACAUCAUUAACUUUAGAUUAACCUCUUUUACAUAAUUUUUUUAAAAUGUUUUAUUCCUUAAACCUUAUUUAUUUUAUUCAUUUUAUAGGUUGUUAAAUUAUUAAUAUGGAUGUUUGUAUGACAUGAUUAAGAUCAAUGUUUAUAUUUGCCUAUUAUUUGUUUAAUUGCUUCUAGUUUAAGUUUAAGUUGUUAUUUAUCUUUUAUAUAUCGUUAUUCAAUCAUGUUUCAUUUGUAAGAGUUGAAUUUUAUUAAAGCAUCAUAAUUCCUAAAAAAGCUUGGUGUUUAAUAGUUCUCGAGAGAAUUGUACCCUAACUUACUGGGCUUCAAUUCUUCUCGAUGAAUUUAUAUCAUCAAGUAUCCAUUUUAUACAAUUUUAAAAUAAAAUUCUUUAGAUUUCAAAAUGUGGGAUCCUAACUUACUGGAUACGACAUUUUGUUAUCUCGAUUUUAAAAUAAAGGCAAUAUUUGAUGUUUAAAAAUUUCAAGAAAUCGAACCCUAACUUACUGGAUUCUGAUUUCUCGAUUGACUUAAAUAGUCAAAUAUCCUUCUUAAAACAUGUUUAAAUUUUUUUAAAAAGGGACGAACUUAACUUCGAAGAUUGAACUGUUUCACUUUAACUCACUGAGUGUGGCGAUUUGUUUCUUUGACAUGGGUCCGUCCACUUAACCAAUUUAAUUAUUUAAGCUUUCAUUUCAUGGGAUCGUAUUUAAAAAUCUUUUCAAGUUUUGACACUAAGACAUUAAAUAACCAAUUCGGUACCAAUUUUGGGCGUUACGAGGGUGCUAACCCUUCCUCGUGCGUAACCGACUUUCGAACUUAUCUUCUCAAAAUUCGCAGACCAAAAAAAUUGUUUUCAAGGUGAUCCGAUCUCACCUCAACAAAAAUUGGUGGCGACUCCAAUUUUCAUUUUUUAAAGUCGACUACUAAUAAAUUUUUGUUUUCAAAAAAUGGUUUCGACAGCUUGGUGACUCCACUGGGGACUAUAAGAGAGUCAAGUUGAAAAAUUUAUUGUUUCCUAUCUUAUCGUCGAAAAUUAAAAAUUUGAUUUGAAAAAUUAUGAUCCUUUCUUUGCAUUUGUUUGUAUGAUUACUGUUUUAUACCUUGGCAUCAUAUUGCAUAAAGACUGUUUAGUCUUACCCUUUAAGUGGGAGUGAGAAGCUAUUCCUUCUUGAGGUUUUCACCUCCGUGCAGGAUAGUGAAUCACUUUCGCGAUACAUCCGUACCUAUGUCUUCGUGAUAUUUUCAUCUCCGUGCAGCCAUAGGGAAAUGUAUUCCCCCGAACCGAACUCGGUCUGUAUGAGCCUAUAAUGGGUGAAGAUCGAGGAAUCUGUUGGUUCGGGCACCUCAACUUUAGAACCAAACCCCAUAUAGUGGACUUAGAAGCUCAACCUAGUUAGAACUAUUCCAAUCUCUCGUGAUUGCCCAGAUAGAUGAUUGUGUUUCUUAUACUUGCUUUGAAUUUUUAUUUUUGUGUUGUACUGACUUGUUUAUGUUUUGUUGAUAUUGUUGCAUGUCACUGCAUAGUUCAAAGAGUGUCGAUUCAAGUUCAGUUACUAAAUUAGAAAACCGUCAUGGCAAACGAAUUUCUGGAUAAAGUGGAGGAUAACGCCAUUGUCUGUAUAUGGUCAGAGAAGGUGCAAUUGGAGAAAGGAGACAAUUUAUCUAAGGGAUAUGUGUCAGAGCUUUGGGACUACACUCGUAUUAGUGUGACACAAAAUAGCCUUCAGGAGUUAAAUGAGAUUUGGGAUCAGUGGAAUGAUGAAACCAAGUAGAUGUUCUACUCUAAUUAUGGGGACUUGCCGUACUUACUUAAAAUCAAGGUGGAUGAAAGACUAUUUCGCGCUCUCGCUCAAAAUUGGAAUCUUGCAUAUAGCUAUUUUACUUAUGGGAACGUAGAUUUGGUGCCCACAGUGGAGGAAUAUACAGCUUUACUACACUGCCCUAGGCUUCAGGUUGAUAAAGCAUAUUCUAGAGCCACAUAUGUCCCAGCGUUUUGGAAGAAAUUAAUGAGUAUUACCGGAAUGAGCAAACAAUGGAUCACGGCCAGGAUCAAACAGAAGGGCGAGUGUAAAUGUAUCCCAUAGAGGAAUUUGCGAGACUUGAUCCUAGCACAUCCUGACGGAAAAAAGAAGGUUGAUGUGUUUGCUUUGAGUAUCUACGGGUUAGUGAUUUUCCCUAGAGCAUUGGGCCAUGUUGACGAAGCGGUUUCAGAUCUUUUUGAUCGGUUGGGUAAAGGGGUCACGUCUGUUCUUGCGAUUUUGGCUGAAACGUUUAGAUCUUUGAAUACGUGUAGGCAAGCUGGUGAAGGUAGAUUUAUAGGUUGUGCACAAUUGUUGAUAGCUUGGUUCCAUAGUCAUUUCUAGAAGGUCGACAAAGUUUCGUAUCGGGUUUUCUCUAGGCAUUACUCCCUGUUAAAAGAGAUAGUGGCUACGCCAAGAAAGGACGAUAUUUCAGAAGAAAAUUGGAUAGCAAUUCUGCAAAAUCUUCAAGAGGAUGAUGUGGAGUGGAGAGCUCCUUGGUUGAUUCCUGAUGGAAUUCUCUACCGUUGUGGAAGCUUUGACUAGGUUCCGUUGCUUGGGAUUUGGGGAGCCGUUGGGUAUGCACCUUUGCUGGUCCUAAGGCAAUACAAUUCAAGACAGUUUGUGCCGGCAACGUAUGGUUUAGCUCAAUAUGAGUUCUCGUACCGAGGAGACAAUUACAAGAAAAAGGUGAAAGAAAUUUCUCAGGCUUGGAAUGAGGUUCACAGGAUGAAAAGGCUAGCUGUGGGUUUGAUGACAACUCCAGAGUACGAUGAGUGGCGACGUAAAAGAAUUAAUGAUAACAUUCUGGAGUUAAACUUGGAGGGUGUUCGACCAAUGGAAGAGUACCUACAAGUGAUCCCAUCAGAGUUGGAGAUUUUAAAACAAGAUUUUGAAAAGAGGAAUUUAGAACUUGAAAAGAAAAUAGAGCGGUUGGAAGAAGAGAAGAUUCAUUUGAGGCUAGACAUUAACGUCUAAAAGUUAGAAGCUGAAAAAUUAAAGAAGGGGAAGAAUAAAGUAGAGGAGGAUCUGGAUAGCUUAAAGACGGACUACAAAAGGCUACGAGUAUCAAUGAGAACUGCUGGGUUGGGAAAGACUUCAGAGCAGUGGCGACAGGAGAUCCAAGAAGAAAGAAACAUAGUCGAUCGGUGGGAAAGAAAGUCCUAGGAGGCUCAAGUUCAGAAAGAGACCUUAGAACGACAGGUGUUAGAAACUCAAAACUAUCAAGCGGACUUAAAAGCUAGAAUAGCGGAACUCAAGAGAUCACUUGCUGCGUAUAGAAGUCGUAAUUCUGUAGUGGAAUUAAAGACAAGUCUAUGCAAGAUUGAAGAAAUGAAAAAUAGGAUAGAAGAAUUGGAGUACACAUUACAAGGCUGUAGACAACGGAUCGAAUCCUUGGAAGGAAAUGAAGAGCGUUGGAGGGAGCAACUUUAUCAUUCGCAAAAUCAAAUUCAGAACAGAGGUUACAUUAUGGGCAGGGCUAUUGCUCAGAUUUGGGAGGUAGCUGAUCAUUUGCAAACAAUGGCAAUUCAGGCUGACGUGUUAAGCGUAAAGUAUGAACUGGAAUCAGAUCGAGGGCAGGAGUUAGCUUCGCUAUUGAAGGAAGCUUCGCUAUUGAAGGAAGUUAAAGCUUUGAGUAUUAGGGCAAAGCCAUACUUGUAAUUCAUUUUAUGUAAAGAAUUUUGUUUAUCAAUAAAGUUUUCUAAAGGAAAUUGGAUCAGAAUCGACGCUCUUUUUGCAUUCAUUUCAUGCAUUUGCAUUACAUGACAUCAUAUGCAUUCAAGACUAUUAAGAAGAGGUUUUAAUUGGUUAAAAUUGUGCUUCAGUUAAUUUGGAAACCAGCAAAAAUUCAUCAACCAAGCACCACUACGGUACCCGUGCGAAAUCAAAAAUUAUGGAUCAAAGAUUGGAAAAGCUUGAGCGCUUUCAAAAGGAAAUGCAAGAUCAAAUGAAAGAACAAAUGGAAAAGAUUCAACAUGACAUGAUACAAAAGAUGCAGGAGUCUCAAAAUGACAUGAUGACUAAGUUGACGCAAUUAAUAACCAGAGGAGUAGAUAAAGGGAAAGGUCCUGUGAUUUGUAAUGAAGAAGGAAACAAUGAUGAACCACUUCUUCCUCCAGGUUUUACGCCUCCGCACGCGCAAGUUCAGACUGAACCGCAUCCGCGGAGACCUUCUGUUUCGAGUAGGCCUCAGCAUUUUCAAGGGGAUGUUUCAAUACCGAAGAACUUUCAGGUCGGAUCUGGCUCUAAUCCUGGUGAUAAUUUGAAUAAUAUUGCUGUCCCGUAUUUCGAUGAAGUAGCUGAGAAGGAUAAGGUGAAAGAAGAGUUUCCAAAGCAGUUUGAGGAGAAAUAGAAAUGGAUUGAAGAGAAAUUUAGAGUGAUGGAAAGCAUUGAAAGCUAUCGUGGAAUAGAUGAAAAAGAUCUGAGUCUGGUUCCGAAUUUGGUACUUUCUUACAAGUUUAAGAUGUCAGAAUUUGAGAAAUACAGUAGGACCAGUUGCCCUGAGGCCCAUAUCACCAUGUUCUGUAGGAGAAUGACGGGGUAUAUUAAUAAUUACCAAUUAUUAAUACAUUGAUUUCAGAAUAGUCUUAUAGGGGCGGCGUCAAAAUGGUACAAUCAGCUGAGUCGAACCAAAAUCGCUACUUGGAGGGAUUUGGCAUAGGCUUUCAUGAGACAGUACAAUCAUGUAUCAGAAAUGACACCUAACCGAAUAACUUUGCAGAAUUUAGAGAAAAAAUCAAACGAAAGCUUCAGACAGUAUGCGCAGCGAUGGAGGGAAAUUGCAAUUCAGGUUCAGCCACCACUUGUGGAAAAGAGAAUGACAAUGCUUUUUAUCAAUACAUUGAAAGCCCCGUUCAUUACUCACAUGUUGGGAAGUGCUUCAAAGAACUUCUCGGAUAUAAUCAUGAACGGUGAAAUGAUUGAGAAUGCUAUUAAGAGUGGAAGAAUAGAUGGAGGGGAUAAUAAUAGAAGGACAGCCCCAAAGAAAAGAGAAAAUGAAGUGAGCAAUGUGAGCUGAUACGGUAGGUCAAUUACGGUGAAUCAACCAGGAAAGGUGGUUACUAAUCAAUAAAGCUCAUCAAGACAAGAAGUAGGAGGGAGGCAAAACACUAAAAAACCCCAGUUUACGCCAAUUCCGAUGUCAUACAAGGAGUUAUAUCAGAAUUUAUUUAAUGCAUAUGUUGUUUCCCCUCAUUACUUGACCCCUUUACAACCCCCUUAUCCCAAAUGGUACGAUAUAAAUGCACAAUGUGACUAUCAUGCGGGAAUCUCGGGGCAUUCAAUAGAGAAUUGCACGGCUUUCAAGAAGGUAGUGGAAAAACUCAUCAGGAUGGGUGUUGUCAAAUUUGAUGACUCACUUAACGCAAAAAAUCUGUUACCUAAUCAUGCUGAUAAGGGAGUAAAUAUGAUGGGCGAAAGUAUGGGAGAAAAAUUCAAGAAUGACAUCGGUGAAGUAAAAACUCCAUUGAAACAGGUCUGGAAAGAGAUGGUGAAAAGAGGGCUAGGCAUUUCAGAUUUUGGGGAAGAGGAUGAGGCUGAAAAAUAUUGUGAAUUCCACCGUGAAGUAGGACAUGAGAUUCAAGAAUGUGAAGAAUUUAAAGCUCUGGUCCAAAGCAUGAUGGAUAACAAGGAAAUAAAGUUCUAUGAGGAAACAGAGGAAGAAAGAAGCAUAUGCGCGUCGGAAUCAACAACGAAGAUUUCAAAAAUAAAUCAUCCUGUGGUCAUUAUUUCGCACCCUAAGAACAGUGAGGCUAGGGUCCAGGUAACGCCAAAAAUUGUAAUACAUAAGCUGUCAAAUUUCUCAUAUAAAGAUAGUAAAAUGGUUCCGUGGAAGUACGGAUGCAAUGUGACAAUCUCAACGUUUUUAUUUAUUUUAUUUUUAUUUUACAUUAAUUUUACCUAUGCUUUAAUUAAAAAAAUUAUAAUGACUUAGAGUUUAUUUAAUAGAGUUUUUUUUUAUAAUCGGUCUUAUAAUAAGAUUUUAUAAGGUGGGACCAAGUCCCACAGUGACAACAUGAUCCUUCAAUUUUUUGUGGUGGCAUGCCUUUAGUCAAAGGAUCAGCUAACAUCUGCUCAAUGCUAAUGUGCUCAAUGACCAAUUUCUUUUCUUUAACAUGUUCCCUUAUGCCUAGGUACUUAAAGUCAAUAUGUUUACUUCGACUUCCACUUCUUUCGUUCUUAGCCAUAAAGACAGCAGUUGAAUUGUCACAAUAUAUGAAAUAAUCAAAACCCAUAAUGACUCAGCCCAAAAAUCUCGAACUUCAAACCCAAAUUAAAUUAAAUCAAAACCAUAAUUUAUUAUGUACAAUUGCACAAAAUUAACAUAAUUUAAGUGUGUCAUAGUGCACAUUAAAUUAAAGUUUACGUUUGACAUUAUAGAUAAUAUUCACGUGUAAAAUUUUGAGAUUUAUUCCCUUAAUUAAUGUAAUAUGUUAAAUAGAAUACUUGAACAAUCCUCCAUGUUGGCAAAGUUUAUGUACAGUAGUAGAAGCGAACUAAAUAAUUAGAAUAAAUCUAAGGUAUGGCUUACAUAUAUUUUAUUCACAAUGUGACUUAAACUUUGUCCUUCAAGAUUUCACGGUCUCAAUUUAUGUCUUAAAAUUUUAAGAUCAUUUUAGGUUUGUUAAAAAAUUAAAAGUUUAGAAAGUUAGAAUUGUUGCUUGAGGCGUGAAUAUCCCUAUUCUUUAGGAUAUUUGCGGAUUUACCAUCUCUCAGGAUUUCGUUUGUAUCAUGCACAAUGAAAAAAUUGAAAAAAAAAAUUCCCAUUUGAAUGGAAUUGAGCUAUUAGGCUCAAGCCUCGUGUGCGCAUAUAUAUUCUCUUAUUUUGAGUCUUACAAGUUUAUAGUAAACCAAAUCUAUAUAAACAUCAUUUCAUUAGGUCAAUCUAAAAUAUGUUUAAUAUGUGUAAUUCUUUAAAAUAGAUGAAAACUUCAAAUAUGGUUUAGGUCAUUUUUAGAUUUCUCUUAUUUUAGGUUCAAAUCAUUCGAAUUUGAGGCUAAUUUUUUCAUGUGUAAUCAUUAUUGAUCCGAAUCAUUUUAGAUUUUGAUCAUUUUAAGUUCCAAUUAUUUUGUGAUCAAAUCAUUUCAAGUUUAGAUAAAUUUGGGUCGAUUUGAAUUUGACUUAAUUACGUAGUUAACUUUUUUUUUUAUAAUAAAUUGAGCUGAAUGAAAGUUAGAUUGGAAUUUAUUUAGUGUGCCUUUGUGUUUAAGUCAAAAUUUAAACAUCUCCCUUCGAAAUAAACAUGUUAAGACAAUUUUAUUUUAAAGACAAUAAUACAACAUAGUUGAUUUGGGAGAUAAACAUGUUAAUUUUUUAAUCCCAACCAAAAUUGUACAUAAUUCUUUUAUGUCAUAUUAAAUACAUGUAACGUCUUAUAAAAAUUGUCAAUAAAUUAUGCCUAGCGACAACGUUAUUCAACUCUUUUCAUUGUUAAUACCUAUUUCUAUUUUUCUUCUAAUGUCUUCAGCUUUAAAUAUAAAGGGAUUGAAAUUUUAAGAAUUGAGAUUUCUUUUCUCUGUAUUAGUGGACGUUUGAUUUUUUGUUUGAUUGUUUUUUUUACUGGAAUUGACACAUAUCUUUUCAGAUUUAUCAAUAUUUUUUAAAUUUAUUUAAGAUAUGUAUAUAAAUAUAUUACAAACGUAAUGGCCUAAUAUUGCCCGGCCCGAUAAUAAAAAAUGAUAAAAUAAAUAAAGGUCCAAUGUCCAGCUUUUACAAACCCAAAAUCAAUACGGCCCAAUUAGCCUAAACCCGAUUAGCUUUAACCCAAACUCUAGCCUAGCCCAAAACCCAACUUAGCCCAAGACUCUCCCGAAACCCCGAAAACCCUAGCAGCAACAGGAGCCUCCUUCCAGAGCCGCAACCAUCAGCUGGCCUUCUCCACGCACACGCUGCCACGCACAUCUCCAGACGGCCACCUCCGUACCUCCAGGUUGGCCGAAUACCUGCAAAAAAAAACGCACGGAAACAACAGCAAAUAGAAAAACAAUAGCAUAGGGGUGAAUUUUUAAUUAUUUUUUCAUUUUAUUUUCUGUAAAAGGGCUAUAAGAAAGGCAUUCGAAUACUGUAACGGGAUUUACGCAUUGAAUAUAUAAAGAGAUUGAGAAUACAAAAGAAUCAAAAAAGCAGAAAAAGGUGAUUUUCUGGGUUUUUUAUUCCUUUCUAUCUUGUUGGUUACUUGAUUCUUUUUUUUACUUUUUUAAUUUGUACGUUCAUCAAUCGUUGUUUAAAAAAAAUAGGAAAAAGAAAGGGAGGGAAACGAUCCUGGCUCUCUCCGGCGUCAUCGGAGUAGGGGCUGGGAUCAAUUACUGCUCGAGUACCUUCAAUACCCAAAGCGGCGCUGAGUUUUUUUUUUUCGUUUAGGUUUUUGUUUUAAUGUAAAGAUAAGUUUUUAGGGUUUAUUUAGUUUUAAGCGAAGGAAUUAAAAAUUCAACGUUUAAAGUCGAUGCAAUGACUUUGAAACAACGUCGUUUUAGGGACCAGAUCCAAACGGUGACCCGAUCCGGGAAGGAUGCAUGCAUUAUGGAUCAUUUGGUCUAUUUGUUCAAUAGAUCCCUCUAUGUUUAAUGGAAUUGCGAUUUGAUUUCUUUUAAUUGUUUGUAAUUCGUACUGCAUAUUUUGUUCUGUUUUCAUUUAGAUCCAGAUUGAAAUGGUAUCGUUUACUGCAUUUGACUUUGAUUAUUCUGAGCUUUUGGGUUUAAUUGCCGAUUCAGUCCUCCAAUUUUGAAAUAAAUUUUAAUUUAACAUGAGUUUAGCCUUAAAAAAAAAAAGAAGAAAUCAAUAGCAUUUUUUAAUUAUAAUUAAUCCUAUUUUCGUACAUUAUAAAAUCUAACAUUAUUUGUAAUAUUUGAUUUUGAUGUUUUUAAAUCUACAAUUAUUAUAACCUAAGAUAUAAUAGAUCAUUGUUUUAGUUUAUAUCCUAUACUUUAAAUUUAUUAUAUAAUAAUAUUUUGAAUCUACCAUAUUUAUUUAAUUUUGUCUUUUCCUUUUGGUUCCAUUUUUAGUCCCGAUUUUAAAUUUAUUAAUAUUUUCAUUAUAAUUGUUGUUAUUACUCUUCUAAAUUGUUUUACUAUAUUUAAUUUUGUCUUCAAAAAGUGUUUUUUAAAACAAAUUAAUUCUUAAUUUUAAUUCAUUUUCUAACAUUAUUUUGGUAUUUAGUAUGAUAUUAUUUUCAAUUUUAUUAUUAGUACAUUUUUUAAAAAUAAUACAUUAUUUUUUUAAAUUAUUAUCAAUAUGUUUUAAUUUUAUCAAUAUUAUUUUAAAUAUAUAUAUGAUUUAUAUGAAAUUAUUCUAGUAUAUAUGUAUAUAGAUUACAUCAUUAACUUUAGAUUAACCUUUUUUACAUAAUUUUUUUAAAAUGUUUUAUUCCUUAAACCUUAUUUAUUUUAUUUGUUUUAUAGGUUGUUAAAUUAUUAAUAUGGAUGUUUGUAUGACAUGAGUAAGAUCAAUGUUUAUAUUUUCCUAUUAUUUGUUUAAUUGCUUCUAGUUUAAGUUUAAGUUGUUAUUUAUCUUUUAUAUAUCGUUAUUCAAUCAUGUUUCAUUUGUAAGAGUUGAAUUUUAUUAAAGCAUCAUAAUUCCUAAAAAAGCUUGGUGUUUAAUAGUUCUCGAGAGAAUUGUGCCCUAACUUACUGGGCUUCAAUUCUUCUCGAUGAAUUUAUAUCAUCAAGUAUCCAUUUUAUACAAUUUUAAAAUAAAAUUCUUUAGAUUUCAAAAUGUGGGAUCCUAACUUACUGGAUACGACAUUUUGUUAUCUCGAUUUUAAAAUAAAGGCAAUAUUUGAUGUUUAAGAAUUUCGAGAAAUCGAACCCUAACUUACUAGAUUCUGAUUUCUCGAUUGACUUAAAUAGUCAAAUAUCCUUCUUAAAACAUGUUUAAAAUUUUCUAAAAAGGGACGAACUUAACUUCGAAGAUUGAACUGUUUCACUCUAACUCACUGAGUGUGGCGAUUUGUUUCUUUGAAAUGGGUCCGUCCACUUAACCAAUUCAAUUAUUUAAGCUUUCAUUUCAUGGGAUCGUAUUUAAAAAUCUUUUCAAGUUUCGACACUAAGACAUUAAAUAACCAAUUCGGUACCAAUUUUGAGCGUUACGAGGGUGCUAACCCUUCCUCGUGUGUAACCGACUUCCGAACUUAUCUUCUCAAAAUUCGCAGACAAAAAAAAUUAUUUUCAAGGUGAUCCGAUCACACCUCAACAAAAAUCGGUGGCGACUCCAAUUUUCUUUUUUUAAAGUCGACUACUAAUAAAUUUUUAUUUUCAAAAAAUGGUUUCAACAACAAAUAUAAAAUAAAUGAAACUAAAUACAUUUCAAAUAUAAAAUAUUCGUUAAUAAACUUAACAAAUAAAAAUUUAUCAUUGAAAUAAAUCCAAAAUUAUUAAUAACAAUCCAUCAUUUAAUAUGAAAUUUUAAAGAUUUAGCUCAUUUACUUAAUAAGAGAAGCUGAAAGGUGAACGAAUAUAUUUUUCUUUGAGAAUCAGGUGAACGGUUUUUUCUUAACUAUAUUUUGAAUGUGAAAGUAUAUUCCAUUUUUUAAAAAACUUUACAUUCCGAUGUAGCAUUUUUAAUUAGUCACGUUUCAAUUAAGUUUUUAGCAUAAUAGAAAAUAAUUAAAAGUUUAAUAUUUUUAAUAUUAUUCAUGCGCAGGACGGUGCACUAUGUUCUGGCAGGUGUGACUGGAAUUGAUCGGAAUGAGUUGGUGCAAUUGGUACGGACCGAAAUUUUUACCAGUGUAGAAAAAGGGUGUUGGGUGUUUCACAAUAUUAUUGAAAGCAAACCAAAAAGACCAAGAACCGAUGAACCCGAGAACUAGAGUAAACUGCAGUUAAACUACAAAUCAUCUGUCAAUUAAGUCGUAUUUUCACAUUUUUUUAAACCGGAAAAACAAAAAUUACACUUCAAAUCCCUUGAGCCAUUGUUAUACUUUUUCUCUGCACUCAAUGAAAUAAAACACAACAUAAAAAAAUAAGCACNNNNNNNNNNNNNNNNNNNNNNNNNNNNNNNNNNNNNNNNNNNNNNNNNNNNNNNNNNNNNNNNNNNNNNNNNNNNNNNNNNNNNNNNNNNNNNNNNNNNNNNNNNNNNNNNNNNNNNNNNNNNNNNNNNNNNNNNNNNNNNNNNNNNNNNNNNNNNNNNNNNNNNNNNNNNNNNNNNNNNNNNNNNNNNNNNNNNNNNNNNNNNNNNNNNNNNNNNNNNNNNNNNNNNNNNNNNNNNNNNNNNNNNNNNNNNNNNNNNNNNNNGGAUCUAAUUUUAAAAAUAUUAAUAUUUCGAUAUAAAAUUGAAACAGUGCACACAAAUUAGUAUAACCGAAAUCUGUACGAAACCGACCACCUUAAUUUAAUACAUAAUUUGACAUUCAUAUAAAAUAUUAUCUUGGAAAUAUACUGAAAGAGGAAACUAAUCGUAUGUAAAUGGAUAACUUGGAAGAGAUAAUGCAGCAGGAAUCAUUAUAUUAACAGUUGCAUCUUCUCGAUGUACGGCUGCUCACUAUCUGGACUGCAUUUAUCGUUUGAUUCUUUUCUUAAUUAGCCAAACUCAUGUUAACACUGGUAUAACAGUAAUUAAUUACUUCAUGGACAAAACAUCAAUAUAUAAAUACCCCAUAUAUAAUAAGCAACAACGUAUCAAAAUACACCAAAUAAUGGGAAUUGGAGAACGCCCAUUUAUACAAACAAAUGUAAGUGGGCAAAAUCAAUACUCAUAAUAAAGACACAAAGACGACUAAAAACCUUAUUAAACUAGAUCCAGUAUGCAGCAUAACAGAAAAGGGGGUAUUUCAAGGAGUAGAACGAGAAGGUGGUGGAGAAAAGAAAGCAAUAGAGGGAACUGCAGUUGGGAUUGAGGGAAUGUUUGGCAGAGGCGGCAGUCCUCUUGGCAAUGUGGCUGGAAGUGGAGGAAGCGCCCCAGGGUUUGGGAGAUUAGGGAAAGAUGGCAAUGGUGGAAAAGAGAAAGGAAUAGGGGGAACUGCAGUUGGGAUUGUGGGGACUGAGGGAAUGCUUGGCAGAGGGGGUAGUCCUGUUGGCAAUGUGGUAGGAAGUGGAGGAAGCGGCCCAGGCCAUGAGAAUGAUGGUCGGGAUGGCGUUGGGAGAUUAGGGAAAGAUGGUAAACUUUGCGGUUGAGGCUGCUGCAGAAGGUGACGAGCUGCUACCCCAACAUCAAUGCUUGCAAAUGACAAAGCAAUCAAGAAUGCUAAAGCAAGGCAAUUGAAAGAAGCCAUUUUUGUUCAGAGAUUUCGAAACAAAUGAAGCAGAUGAAACAAAGUUCUUUAUCUGAAUAGUUGUGAGUGAGGAAAGCAACGCAUGGUAUUGAGGUUUAUAUAGGAAUUGGAGCAGUAAAUAGAAAUCCCCUGCCCCUAAACAAUGCCCAAUGCAUGCCCCCAAACCAAAAUAGCGCCACAUGUUUUUUAUUUUUUCCAUUUUAAUUGUAGUUCAUUUUUUAAAUAAAAAAUUUAUAAUGAUUUGGAUGAAUUUUUAACUUAUUAUCAACGUUUUUGUUUUUGUUUUAUUUUCUAUUAAUUUUACGUAUUCUUUAAUUAACAAAUUUAUAAUGACUUGGAAUUAAUUUAACAAUAUUUUUUUUAUAAUCGUUCUUAUAAUAAAAUUUAAAAAGAUGGGAAUGAGUCCCACAAUGACAACAUGAUCCUUAAAUUUUGGGUGGUAGCAUGCCUUUAGUCAAAGGAUCUGAUAACAUCUGCUCAGUGUUAAUGUGCUCAAUGACGACUUUAUUUUCUUUAACAUGUUUCCUUAUGACUAGAUACUUAAAGUCGAUAUGUUUACUUCGACUUUCACUUUUUUCGCUCUUAGCCAUAAAGACAGCAAUUGAAUUGUCACAAUAUAUGAAAUAAUCGAAACCUAUAAUGACUCAGCUCAAAAAACUAGAGCCUCAAACCCAAAUUAAAUUAAAUCAAAAUCAUAAUUUAUUAUAUACAAUUGCAUAAAAUUAACAUAUUUUAAGUGUCAUAGUGCAUGUACAGCCCAAAUUUAGCCCGGGGCCCAAAACCUACCCAAACCCGAGAAACCAAUACAACCCAAAAACAGACUAAAAAACCUAAGCCCAAAAACCAGCCCAAUAAGCCCAAAUCUAACCCUAGCCCAGAAACCCAAAUCAGAGACAAAAAAUAAAAUUUUCAAACCCUAGGUGCGCCGCACCUAGGGUUCUCUGCCCUGUUGGCCACCGCAUGCUAGGACCUGCUGCCACCGCCCUUGUCCCAUCGCCUCUGACGCCUAGCCACUGCCACCGCCGCCUGCAGCACCAACUCCACUAUUCAACCCCUGCAAAAUGAAAACCAAACACGCAAAGCAGAAGCAAAAACAAUGCAAAAUAGUAGAAAAAAAUAGAUAAAAAAUGUAUUGUAAAUUGGCUAUAAAAGCCUGGAUCUCAGCCUUGUAAUCUUUCUUCUUCUUUUUUCACGAACGUUAGAAAAUAAAAACAAAAAAAAAAGUUUCAAGGUGAUUAUCUUUAUUAUUUUAGAUUUCGAUUUUUUUUAUUUUAUUUUCAUUUUAUCUUCUUAUUUUUAUGCACGAAAAUAAAAAAGAAAAGGAGAAAGAAACAUACCUGAAUCGGCCCUUAGAUCCGUCGUUAUCAGCCCUUCGGCGCCGUCGGAUUCGGGUUUAGGGAAGGGCUAAGACCUUUUUUUUUUCUCUCCUUGUUUCCUCAUUCUAAGAUUUUGGUCUUUGAACGCGUUUCAACGCACUGAUCGAGAACGCCCUCUUGCAACGCCGGCCGUCAGCCACGGCGGCGCAAGCGAUGGCCCUGUUGGCCGAAUUUGGAGGGAUCGAGAGAGAGGCUAAGAGCUCUCUUCUUCUUUUUUUCUGAAAAAUGAAGUUGGAAAUGUUUUUUUUUGUUUUUUUACUAUGUAUAUAGGGUAUAAAACGAUGCCGUUUUGGACCUUAACAUCGGUAGCCAAAACGACGUCGUUUUGCCCUGACCCGUGCGGUGACCCGACCCUGGGGGGAGGAUCCGCGUGUUUUCUUAAAAAGGGAUAUUUGAGCGUGCGGUCCCUCCGCUUUUGCAACGCAUUGCAAUUUGCCCCUUUUUCCUUCUUUUCUUUUAUUUCAAUUCAGCCGCAUAAUUUUAUUUUUGUUUCAUUUUAGUCCCACGUAAAGUGAUGCAUUUUGAAGGGCGGGAUAUUUCCUUUUUGGUCCCCCUCCUUUCACGCGCAUCACAAAUUAAUCCUUUGCCUAUUUUAUUUUUGAUUUCUCCCCUGGGAUUUUGUUUUGUUUUCAAUUUAGUCCCGUUAUUAUUAUUAUUUAUUAAACUAAUUAGUUUUAUUAUUAUUAUUAUUAUUAUUAUUAUUAUUAUUAUUAUUAUUAUUGCAUUUAUUAUUAUUACCUACCUUAUUAUUAUUAUUAUUUACCCAUUUAUACCGUUUUUAGAUUUUGUUAUAUAUAUAUAUAUACAUACUUACAUAUAUAUACAUACUUAUAUAUUUUUAAUUUUUAUAUAUGUACGUACUUAUAUUUUUUUAUAUACUUUAUAAUUUAUAUAUACAUAUAUACAUACAUAUUUUUAAUAUAUUUUUAAACAUAUAUAUACAUUAUCAUUAUUUACUUGUUUAUAUAUAUAUAUAUAUUUUAAACUUUGUUGUAUUUAUACACAUAUAUUUUUAUAUUUUUAUAAUUUUUUUUAUUUUCAUUAUUGCUAUUAUUGUUUUAUUCGACAUUUAUUUAUUUAUUUACAUGUCUAUUAUUAUUAUUAUCAUUAUUUUUUUAAUGUUUUAGUUUUUAUUUGUUUAUUACUUGUUAUUGUGUAUACAUGAUUGAUUUUUUUAUAUUUGUAUUCUUAUUUAUUUAUCUUUCUGUUUUUGCCCAUAUUAUUUUUACUUACAUUAUCAUAAUCGUUAUUCCAUUACAUCAAUUUUUACCCAGAUUCGUAAAAAAGAAAAUUUUGAAAAUAAAGGCAAUACUCAGUAUUUGGGAUUUUCGAGAGGAUUGAGCCCUAACGCAUUGGGUUCCAAUUUUCUUCGUUGAAUCUAAAUAAUCGAGAAUGCUCUUUAAUCAAAAAACAUAAAUAAAAAGUUCAUUAUCGAGAAUUCAAUACGUUGUGUCCUAACGCAUUGGAUAUGACACGUUCUUUUCUCGAAAUAAGGAUUUUCUAAAAAAUAAUAAAGGCAAUAUUCAAUGUUUAGAAUUUGAGAAAUUGUGCCUUAACAUAUUGGGUUGCGAUUUUUUCAUCUGACUUAAACAAUUGAAUAUCCUUUUAAAUUUUAUUGCACGAGUUUUUUGGGCAAACUCAUUCUUGAGGAGGUAAAAUAUCAUGCCCUAACUCAUUAGGUGUGACAUUUUCUCUCUCCGAAAUGAGAGGGUCUUAACGGUAAUUUGAUUUAUACAAGUUUUUUUAAUAAAUAAUCGUAUUUUAAAUCUCUUUAAAGUUUCUAAUUCUCGACACUAAGACACUAAAUAAUCAACUACGUACCAAUCUUGGGCGUUACGAGGGUGCUAAUCCUUCCUCGCACGUAAUCGACUCCCGAACCCAUUUUUCUGAAUUUCGUGGACCAAGAUCGUUGUUUUAAUAAACUCAAAUCGUUUAUUAAAAACAACCACUUUUUAAGGUGGCCCAAUCACACCUCAUCAAAAAAGAUUUGUGGCGACUCCCAUUUUCGUUUUCAUUUUCAAAACCCAAGUCGACCCCAUUUUCACAAAAAAAUGGUGUCAACAGUGCACAUUAAAUUAAAGAUUAUGUUUGACAUUAUAGAUUGAAGCAAUAUUCAUGUGUAAAAUUUUGAGAUUUAUUUCCUUAAUUAAAGUAAUAUUUCAAAUAGAAUACUUAAACAAUCCUCCAUGUUGGCAAACUUUAUGUACAUUAGAAACGAACUAAAUAAUUAGAAUAAAUCUAAAGUAUGGCUUACAUUUAGUUUAUUCACAAUGUGACUUAAACUUUGGCCUUCAAGAUUUCACGGUCUCAAAUUAUGUCUUAAAAUUUUAAGAUCAUUUUAGCUUUGAUAAAAAAAAUCAAAAGUUUAGAAAGUUAGGAUUGUUGCUUGAGGCGUGAAUAUCCCUAGUCUUUAGGAUAUUCAUGGAUUUACUAUCUUUCAAGAUUUAAUUUGUAUCAUGCACAAUGAAAAAAUUGAAAAAAAAAUUCCCAUUUGAAUGGAAUUGAGCUAUUAGGCUCAAGCCUCGUGUGCGCAUAUAUAUUCUCUUAUUUUGAGUCUUACAAGUUUAUAAUAAACCAAAUCUAUAUAAACAUCAUUUAAUAAGUGUAUCUAAAAUAUGUUUAAUAUGUGUAAUUCUUUAAAAUACAUGAAAACUUCAAAUAUGGUUUAGGUCAUUUUCAGAUUUGUCUUAUUUUAGGUUCAAAUCAUUCGAAUUUGAGGCUAUGUUUUUCAUGUCUAAUCAUUAUUGAUCCGAAUCAUUUUAAAUUUUGAUCAGUUUAAGUUCCAAUUAUUUUGUGAUCAAAUCAUUUUAAGUUUAGAUAAAUUUGGGUCAAUUCGAAUUUGACUUAAUUACGUAAUUACCUUUUUUUAUAAUAAAUUGAGCUGAAUGAAAUUUAGAUUGGAAUUUAUUUAGUGUGCCUUUGUGUUUAAGUUGAAAUUUAAACAUCUGUAUUGGAAAUACACAUGUUAAUACAAUUUUAUGUUAAAGACAAUAAUACGACAGAGUUGAUUUGGGAGAUAAACAUGUUAAUUUUUUUAAUCCCAACCAAAAUUGUACAUAAUUCUUUUAUGUCAUAUUAAAUACAUGUAUAAAAAUUGUCAAUAAAUUAUGCCUAGCGACAACGUUAUUCAAAUCUAAUUUCAUUGUUAAUACCUAUUUCUAUUUUUCUUCUAUUGUCUUCAACUUUAAAUAUGAAGGAAUUGAAAUUUUAAGAAUUGAGAUUUCUUUUCUUUGUAUUAGUGGACGUUUGAUUUUUUUUACUAGAAUUGAUGCAUAUCUUUUCAGAUUUAUCAAUAUUUUUUAAAAUUAUUUAAGAUAUGUAUAUGAAUAUAUUACAAAUAUAAAAUGCAUGAUACUAAAUACAUUUCAAAUUUAAAAUAUUCAUUAAUAAACUUAAUAAAUAAAAAAUUAUCAUUCAAAUAAAUCCAAAAUUAUUAAUAAUAAUCCAUCAUUUAAUAUGAAAUUUUAAGGAUUUAGCUCAUUUACUUAAUAAAAGAAGCUGAAAGGUGAACGGAUAUUUUUUUAUUUGAUGAUCGGGUGAAUGGUUUUUUCUUAAUUAUAUUUUGAAUGUGAAAGUAUAUUCCAUUUUUUUUUAAAAAUUUACAUUCCGAUGUAGAAUUUUUAAUUAGUCAAAUUUCAAUUAAGUUUUUAGCAUAAUAGUAAAUUAUUAAAAGUUUAAUGUUUUUAAUAUUAUUCAUGCACAGGACGGUGCACUAUGUUCUGGCAGGUGUGACUGGAAUUGAUCGGAAUGAGUUGGUGCAAUUGGUACAGACCAAAAUUUUUAACAGUGUAGAAAAAUGGUGUUGGGUGUUUCGCAAUGUUAUUGAAACCAAACCAAACAGACCAAGAACCGAUGAACCCGAGAACUAGAAUAAACUGCAGUUAAAUUGCAAAUCAUCAGCUGAUUAAGCCGUAUUUUCAAAUUUUCUAGAUUGAAAAAACAAAAUUUCACUUCAAAUCCCUUGAGCUUCUGUUACACUUCUUCUCUUAACUCAAUGAAAUAAAACAAACCAUAAAAAGAAUAAGCACCGUUUCUUUUAUUACUUUUUCUAUUAAAAUAUUUUUUUUCUCGUGAAAAACCUGGGCUUAUAACAUUCAAUCAAAGGAAAAAAAGGACAAAUUAGGAAAGAUGAAAGAUGGGGAGAGGGUUUUAAAAUUUAAAGCCUUCAAAAUAGAUGAGUUUAGGGUUAUUAAUAUUAUUUUAUAUUGUUCAGUAAAAAAUUAAUUGUAUCGGUGGUUGAACGUGUGAGAUCAAGAAUUGAUUAUUUGAUUAAUUUGAUUAUCGAUCUAAUUUUAAAAAUAUUAAUAAUUCGAUACAAAAUUAAUAUAGUGCAGACAAAUUAAUAUAACAGAAAAUUGUACGAAACCGAGCACCUUAAUUUAAUACAUAAUUUGACAUUCAUAUAAAAUAUUAUCUUGGAAAUAUAUUGAAAGAAGAAAGUAAUCGUAUGUAAAUGGAUAACUUGGAAGAGAUGAUGAAGCAGGAAUCAUUAUAUUAAAAGUGGCAUUUUCUCGAUGUACGGCUGCUCACUAUUUUGACUGCAUUUAUCGUUUGAUUCUUUUCUUAAUUAGCCAAACUCAUGUUAACAAUGGUAUAACAGUAAGUAAUUACUUCAUGGACAGAACAUCAAUAUAUAAAUACCCCACAUAUAAUAAGCAACAACGUAUCAAAAUACACCAAAUAAUGGGAAUUGGAGAACGCCCAUUUAUACAAACAUAUAUAAGUGGGCAAAAUCAAUACUCAUAAUAAAGACACAAAGACGACUAAAAACCUUAUUAAACUAGAUCCAGUAUGCAGCAUAACAGAAAAGGGGGUAUUUCAAGGAGUAGAACGAGAAGGUGGUGGAGAAAAGAAAGGAAUAGAGGGAACUGCAGUUGGGAUUGAGGGAAUACUUGGCAGAGGCGGCAGUCCUCUUGGCAAUGUGGUAGGAAGUGGAGGAAGCGCCCCAGGGUUUGGGAGAUUAGGGAAAGAUGGCAAUGGUGGAAAAGAGAAAGGAAUAGGGGGAACUGCAGUUGGGAUUGUGGGGACUGAGGGAAUGCUUGGCAGAGGGGGUAGUCCUGUUGGCAAUGUGGUAGGAAGUGGAGGAAGCGCCCCAGGCCAUGGGAAUGAUUGUCGGGAUGGCGUUGGGAGAUUAGGGAAAGAUGGUAAACUUUGCGGUUGAGGCUGCUGCAGAAGGUGACGAGCUGCUAGCCCAACAUCAAUGCUUGCAAAUGACAAAGCAAUCAAGAAUGCUAAAGCAAGGCAAUUGAAAGAGGCCAUUUUUGUUCAGAGAUUUCGAAACAAAUGAAGCAGAUGAAACAAAGUUCUUUAUCUGAAUAG